rnacentral:rRNA from 1 species
AUUGAACGCUAGCGGGAUGACUUAAACAUGCAAGUCGACCGGAGUGUCGAACGGGUGAGUACUGUAUUGGAACGUGCCCAGUAGCGGGGGAUAACUACGCGAAGGAGAAGACAAUACCGCAUGCUAUAGGAGCGGCCGAGAUUGGAUUGGCUAGUUGGGGGGGUAACGGCUCACCAAGGCGACGAUCCGUAGCUGGUUUGAGGGGACGACCAGCCACACUGGGACUGAGACACGGCCCAGACUCCUACGGGAGGCAGCAGUGGGGAAUUUUGGACAAUGGGGGAAACCCUGAUCCAGCCAUCCCGCGUGUGCGAUGAAGGCCUUCGGGUUGUAAAGCACUUUUGGCAGGAAAGCGGUACCUGCAGAAUAAGCACCGGCUAACUACGUGCCAGCCGCCGCGGUAAUAC